rnacentral:rRNA from 1 species
CCACCACCAAAGCAUUCUCUGGUGUUGAAGGCCCUGCAAAGCAGCAUCGCGGUGGCGGAGCGUCGUUUGCGACGCCCAACACACAAAACAAGCGGUGAAUGCUUUGGGGUGGGGUGACUGCGUACCUUUUGUAUAAUGGGUCAGCGACUUAUAUUCUGUAGCAAGGUUAACCGAAUAGGGGAGCCGGAGGGAAACCGAGUCUUAAUUGGGCGUUAAGUUGCAGGGUAUAGACCCGAAACCCGGUGAUCUAGCCAUGGGCAGGUUGAAGGUUGGGUAACACUAACUGGAGGACCGAACCGACUAAUGUUGAAAAAUUAGCGGAUGACCUGUGGCUGGGGGUGAAAGGCCAAUCAAACCGGGAGAUAGCUGGUUCUCCCCGAAAGCUAUUUAGGUAGCGCCUCGUGAAUUCAUCUCCGGGGGUAGAGCACUGUUUCGGCUAGGGGGCCAUCCCGGCUUACCAACCCGAUGCAAACUGCGAAUACCGGAGAAUGUUAUCACGGGAGACACACGGCGGGUGCUAACGUCCGUCGUGAAGAGGGAAACAACCCAGACCGCCAGCUAAGGUCCCAAAGUCAUGGUUAAGUGGGAAACGAUGUGGGAAGGCCCAGACAGCCAGGAUGUUGGCUUAGAAGCAGCCAUCAUUUAAAGAAAGCGUAAUAGCUCACUGGUCGAGUCGGCCUGCGCGGAAGAUGUAACGGGGCUAAACCAUGCACCGAAGCUGCGGCAGCGAACGUAUCACCCAAGACAACUUUACGGAGUUGACGAUUGACGGAGCGAAGCGACGUCAAAGCGUUCAUUAAAGUCGAGUUGGCUUAGGGAUACGUUCGUUGGGUAGGGGAGCGUUCUGUAAGCCUGUGAAGGUGUGUCGUGAGGCAUGCUGGAGGUAUCAGAAGUGCGAAUGCUGACAUAAGUAACGAUAAAGCGGGUGAAAAGCCCGCUCGCCGGAAGACCAAGGGUUCCUGUCCAACGUUAAUCGGGGCAGGGUGAGUCGACCCCUAAGGCGAGGCCGAAAGGCGUAGUCGAUGGGAAACGGGUUAAUAUUCCCGUACUUGGUGUUACUGCGAAGGGGGGACGGAGAAGGCUAUGUUGGCCGGGCGACGGUUGUCCCGGUUUAAGCGUGUAGGUGUGUGUUCCAGGUAAAUCCGGUU